CAGGAUGGAGACAUAAAGCAAGAGAAGAGAAAUUAAAGAACCCUAAUCUUGUUGGGGAGUGAUUAUGCUGCAUAUAUAUAUAGAGAUCAAGAUAGAGGACAACACUAUGCCAAAAAUGGGAGCUUUAUGAGGUUUCAGAGUUCACAAAAAGAGAGAGAAAGAGAACAUGCCAACAUGAGUGUUGUUUAUGAUGUCUGCAUUUCAGCAUGAAAACAAAGGCUCACAAGAAAUAAAUGCAAUAUUGUUGAGAAUCUAUCAGAGGCAACACACCACAGAGGCUGACAGAAGAGAGUGAGCACAUGCUGAUAGUGAUUGUAUGAGGGCAUACAAUUGCAGGUGUGUGCUCACUUCUCUUUCUGUCAGUUUCUUCUUCUUCUUUUUUCGGUGUGUUUUCUUUCAUAUCUCUUCAUAUUUUCUGAUUCUCGGAGCAACUCCCCGCUGUAAUUAACCCUCUUUCAACUUUCAUUCUCUGAUUUUAAAUAUAUGGUUUCUCUUUAUAGUAUAAACUUGAACUGAAACAAAGAAAUAAGUGUGUAUAUAUAUAUAUAUAGUUUGGUGGUUCUUGGAGUUCAGUUUUUUGUGGUAAGCGUGCAGAAACUUGUAUAUGUAUAAUGCAAUGCAACUUUUUUUGUGUUUGAAGUACCACAAUCUCGUUGAUCUUAACUGGUUCUCUUUUAUUCCGUUUAUUUGCUAUAUUGAAAAGCGUGACUUUUUAUGGUACUUUUUCCUUGAUGGUGUAAAACGCAAAAUCCAAAUGGAGGUCUUCGAGGUACGCCUUGUGUCACGGUCUUUCUCUUACUGUUCAUACUUUAACUGAAAACUCUUUUUCCCUUGCUUGCUUUCUCCCUCUGCUACUUGCCGACAGUGUAGAUAUUUUCUCGCCCUCAAUUUUGGUACACACAAAUCAAAGGGUUUCAAAUUAGGAGUUUCAAAGGCUCAGAAAUUAAUCAGAUGUUCCAUCUGUCUCUUGGAAAACAUGCCACUUUGUUUUGUAGCCUUAAUUUUAGGCAAAGACAAAGCCCUGGGAAACUGCAUUAAUUGCCCAGGCACCUGAAUAUGGUAAGAUGUUCUUUGCAUUAUAUGUCUCAUUAAAACUUUAUUUCCUGAGACUAUUUUUGUUUCAGUACUUUGAACUUUGAUUCCAUUAGCACAGAAGUUGGUUUCUGCUGUCAAUAUCUGCAGAUUAGCGAGCUUGAAGCACCGGUCACUCGGCCUUGAUAAUUGUAUAUAUUUUGGUUUCAUGUUCUGCCUGAAAUACACAACAAGCAUUAGUACUCUCUUUGAACGGUUCUGCAACAGAAGAUAUCAGUUUAAAGUGAAUAUGAGAUUAUGUGUUAACUCUUCGUCAUGCAUGAACUCUAUAACCAAAAAAUCCUUUCUUGCUUUGGAUUUAUGGAGGAAUUAAGUACCAAGUUUCUUGUUAACCCAUUGGACCAGAGUCUUUGCAGGUGAAUCUUUCCUUUCGCCAACGAAGAGACCUUCUUCAAACAGAAGGAGUGACCAAAGCACAGAUCUUGUCACCUGUUAAAAGUCCACACUUAAGAUUCGGAUAAGAUCAUUGACGCUCACCAUGGGAUCCAAAUUAAAAAAGAAAUGAAACCAAACACAAUGAACUUCUAAGGAUCAGUGGAGAAAAUGAGAGAAAACUGCAUGAGGUUUCACUUCCUUUUCUGGUUUUACACCGUGAGACGGAUCAAGUGACGGAUAAAGUAAUUAGCAAACAGCUACAUUAAGUGACUGGAAGUUCUGACAAGACACUGAAGUUGUACUCAGGAAUGUGGCAUGGUCUGCUAUGGAGAGCCACCGGAAAACUUGAAUGUUGUAUUCUCUUGGGUGGAUCGAGAAGAGAUCUCGGUUUGAAAAUACAACAUUGGAGAGAGUUGAAAGGAGAACAUGAACAUUUGGUCAGGUCUGAUCUCUAGCAAAUUUGGCAACUCUCAUUUCCAAAACAAACCUAGAGAAUUGUUAGAGCAAAGGGUCGUGUACUUGGGCCGGUGUACAAUUUCAAAUCAAUUUAUAAAGGAACAAAUGUCUCAAUUCCCUAUUUCAAGAUUAUCACAUACCUAUUGUCCUUAUUUAACCAAGUUUUACUCAUUUAUAUACAUAAAUUCAUGACCUUAGUGUCACCAUUUUUGUUCAUAAAUUUAUAAAGUCACUGUUAUAUUUCAUCUUACGAAUUUGAAAAAUUAUUGCAAAACUUAAUACACG